rnacentral:rRNA from 2 species
GUUAUAGGGACAAGUGAAUAAGUGCACAUGGUGGAUGCCUUGGCGAUUACAGGCGAUGAAGGACGUAGUAGCUUGCGAUAAGCUGCGGGGAGCUAGCAAACGAGCUUUGAUCCGCAGAUUUCCGAAUGGGGAAACCCGGCCUUUUAGGUCAUUGCAU